rnacentral:rRNA from 1 species
AUACGUAGGUGGCAAGCGUUGUCCGGAUUUACUGGGCGUAAAGGGUGCGUAGGUGGUUUCUUAAGUCAGAGGUGAAAGGCUACGGCUCAACCGUAGUAAGCCUUUGAAACUGGGAAACUUGAGUGCAGGAGAGGAGAGUGGAAUUCCUAGUGUAGCGGUGAAAUGCGUAGAGAUUAGGAAGAACACCAGUGGCGAAGGCGCUUCUCUGGACUGUAACUGACGCUGAGGCUCGAAAGCGU